rnacentral:rRNA from 1 species
CAGUCGCCACGGUAAUGCGUAGGGUGCGAGCGUUAAUCGGAAUUACUGGGCGUAAAGCGUGCGCAGGCGGUUAUAUAAGACAGAUGUGAAAUCCCCGGGCUCAACCUGGGACCUGCAUUUGUGACUGUAUAGCUAGAGUACGGUAGAGGGGGAUGGAAUUCCGCGUGUAGCAGUGAAAUGCGUAGAUAUGCGGAGGAACACCGAUGGCGAAGGCAAUCCCCUGGACCUGUACUGACGCUCAUGCACGAAAGCGUGGGGAGCAAACAGGAUUAGAUACCCGAGUAGUCCCUGUCUCUUAUAU